GAGUUUGAUCGUGGCUCAGAUUGAACGCUGGCGGCAUGCCUUACACAUGCAAGUCGAACGGCAGCACGGGAGCUUGCUCCUGGUGGCGAGUGGCGAACGGGUGAGUAAUGCAUCGGAACGUAUCCUGGAGUGGGGGAUAACGUAGCGAAAGUUACGCUAAUACCGCAUAUUCUGUGAGCAGGAAAGCGGGGGACCUUCGGGCCUCGCGCUCUUGGAGCGGCCGAUGUCGGAUUAGCUAGUUGGUGAGGUAAAGGCUCACCAAGGCGACGAUCCGUAGCAGGUCUGAGAGGAUGAUCUGCCACACUGGAACUGAGACACGGUCCAGACUCCUACGGGAGGCAGGCAGUGGGGAAUUUUGGACAAUGGGGGCAACCCUGAUCCAGCCAUGCCGCGUGAGUGAAGAAGGCCUCGG
rnacentral:rRNA from 1 species